rnacentral:lncRNA from 1 species
AGGGGCUUUUACUACUCAACCACCAUAUUUUGGUUUCAUUUCACCUUCCAUUCCUACCACUUUCACUAUCCCAUCCUCUUCCUCUACUAUGCAACCAUCAUCUUUUAUAUAUCCAUCACUUUAUUUCCAAUACCCCAAUACCAUGCCACACACACCUAGUCCUACUUGCAGUCCUUCCUUUUUCCUACACUGUGGUCCCACUUGGAC